rnacentral:rRNA from 1 species
AGNACAUUGCUGANGAUUNAGUCCAUGCUCUUCGGAGCAGGNCCANNNCUAAACCCUUUGUGAAUACUACUUAAAAGUUGCCUCGGCGCAGGUUGGCCUCUAACGAGGUCCCUCUUUCGGGAGGAGCAGACCGGCCGAUGGCCCCCUAAACUCUUGUUUUUGUAAAAUCAUCUGAGUACAAACAAAUAAAUGAAUCAAAACUUUCAACAACGGAUCUCUUGGUUCUGGCAUCGAUGAAGAACGCAGCGAAAUGCGAUAAGUAAUGUGAAUUGCAGAAUUCAGUGAAUCAUCGAAUCUUUGAACGCACAUUGCACCCAGUGGUAUUCCACUGGGUAUGCCUGUUCGAGCGUCAUUUCAACCCUCAAAGCCUAGCUUUGUUGCUGGAAGAAGGCCUGUAAAAAGGCCCCUUCCCAAAUUUAGUGGCGGGCUCGCUAGAAUUUUGAGCGUAGUAAUUUUACCUCGUUUUUAAAGACUAGUGAGACUUCUUGCCGUAAAACCCCCCAACUUUCUGAAAAUUGACCUCGGAUCAGGUAGGAAUACCCGCUGAACUUAAGCAUAUCAAUAAGCGGAGGAAAAGAAACCAACAGGGAUUGCCCUAGUAACGGCGAGUGAAGCGGCAACAGCUCAAAUUUGAAAUCUGGCUUCGGCCCGAGUUGUAAUUUGCAGAGGAUGUUUAUGGUGCAGUACUUUCCGAGUUCCCUGGAACGGGACGCCACAGAGGGUGAGAGCCCCGUCUGGAUUGCUACUAAACCUGUGUUAAACUCCUUCAACGAGUCGAGUAGUUUGGGAAUGCUGCUCUAAAUGGGAGGUAAAUCUCUUCUAAAGCUAAAUAUUGGCCAGAGACCGAUAGCGCACAAGUAGAGUGAUCGAAAGAUGAAAAGCACCUUGAAAAGGGGGUUAAACAGUACGUGAAAUUGUUGAAAGGGAAGCGUUUAUGACCAGACUUGUGCUGUAUGGCUCAUCCGAGGUUCUCCCCGGUGCACUCCAUACAGUUCAGGCCAACAUCGGUUGUCGUCGGAGGAUAAGAACAGUAGGAACGUGGCCCCUCUGGGGGGGUGUUAUAGCCUAUUGUNCGANACUCUGAUGGCGACCNNNACCCGC